CCAGCAGCGGUCCGCGGCCUCGGCCCGGUCCACUCACCCUGUGCGUACCUUUUGGAGCGUUGCUUUGGCGGGCCCCCGCGCCCGCCAGAGGUCGUUGACAACUCUGUUAUUUCGGACUGUCUGAGUGUCUCACAAAUGAAUUA
rnacentral:misc_RNA from 1 species